rnacentral:rRNA from 1 species
GGCCGCGGGAAUUCGAUUCAGGCCUAACACAUGCAAGUCGAACGGCAGCACGGACUCCGGUCUGGUGGCGAGUGGCGAACGGGUGAGUAACAUAUCGGAACGUAUCCACUAAUGGGGGAUAACGAGUCGAAAGAUUCGCUAAUACCGCAUACGCCCUACGGGGGAAAGCUAGGGACCUUCGGGCCUGGCGUUAAUGGAGCGGCCGAUAUCUGAUUAGCUAGUUGGUGAGGUAAAGGCUCACCAAGGCGACGAUCAGUAGCUGGUCUGAGAGGACGACCAGCCACACUGGAACUGAGACACGGUCCAGACCCCUACGGGAGGCAGCAGUGGGGAAUUUUGGACAAUGGGCGCAAGCCUGAUCCAGCCAAGGCGCGUGAGUGAAGAAGGCCUUCGGG